rnacentral:rRNA from 1 species
GACGAACGCUGGCGGCGUGCUUAACACAUGCAAGUCGAACGAUGAACCCGGAGCUUGCUCCGGCGGAUUAGUGGCGAACGGGUGAGUAACACGUGAGUAACCUGCCCUUGACUCUGGGAUAACUGCUAGAAAUGGUAGCUAAUACCGGAUACGACCCUCGGCGGCAUCGCCAGGGGGUGGAAAGAAUUUCGGUCAAGGAUGGACUCGCGGCCUAUCAGCUAGUUGGUGAGGUAACGGCUCACCAAGGCGACGACGGGUAGCCGGCCUGAGAGGGUGACCGGCCACACUGGGACUGAGACACGGCCCAGACUCCUACGGGAGGCAGGAGUGGGGAAUAUUGCACAAUGGGCGCAAGCCUGAUUCAGCAACGCCGCGUGAGGGAUGACGGCCUUCGGGUUGUAAACCUCUUUUAGUAGGGAAGAAGCGAAAGUGACGGUACCUGCAGAAAAAGCACCGGCUAACUACGUGCCAGCCGCCGCGGUAA